AGCGAGAAAGCCUUCGGGUGAGUAGAGCGGCGAACGGGUGAGUAAUGCGUAGGAAUCUACCUAAUAGUGGGGGAUAACUCGGGGAAACUCGGGCUAAUACCGCAUAUGCCCUAAGGGGUAAAGCGGGGGACUUUCGAGCCUCGCGCUAUCAGAUGAGCCUACGUCAGAUUAGCUAGUUGGUAGGGUAACGGCCUACCAAGGCGACGAUCUGUAGCUGGUCUGAGAGGAUGAUCAGCCACACUGGGACUGAGACACGGCCCAGACUCCUACGGGAGGCAGCAGUGGGGAAUAUUGGACAAUGGGCGAAAGCCUGAUCCAGCCAUGCCGCGUGUGUGAAUGAAGGCUCUAGGGUCGUAAAGCACUUUCAGUAGGGAGGAAAAGCUGGUAGUUAAUAACUGCCAGCCAUGACGUUACCUACAGAAGAAGCACCGGCAAACUCCGUGCCAGCAGCCGCGGUAAUACGGAGGGUGCAAGCGUUAAUCGGAAUUACUGGGCGUAAAGCGCGCGUAGGUGGCUUAUUAAGCAGGGUGUGAAAUCCCCGGGCUCAACCUGGGAACUGCAUUCUGAACUGGUAGGCUAGAGUAUAGUAGAGGGUGGCGGAAUUUCUGGUGUAGCAGUGAAAUGCGUAGAUAUCAGAAGGAACAUCAGUGGCGAAGGCGGCCACCUGGACUAAUACUGACACUGAGGUGCGAAAGCGUGGGUAGCGAACAGGAUUAGAUACCCUGGUAGUCCACGCCGUAAACGAUGUCAACUAGCCGUUGGGAGAUAUUUUUCUUAGUGGCGCAGCUAACGCGAUAAGUUGACCGCCUGGGGAGUACGGCCGCAAGGCUAAAACUCAAAUGAAUUGACGGGGGCCCGCACAAGCGGUGGAGCAUGUGGUUUAAUUCGAUGCAACGCGAANAACCUUACCAAGAUUUGACNUCCUGCGAACUUUCUAGAGAUAGAUUGGUGCCUUCGGGAAC
rnacentral:rRNA from 1 species